rnacentral:misc_RNA from 1 species
UACGGGAUGCGGUACAUGCA